rnacentral:tRNA from 1 species
UCCCUGUAGCUCAGCUGGUAAAGAAUCCGCCUGCAAUGCGGAAAACCUAGGUUCAAUACCUGGGUUGGGAA